CUACGGGGGGCAGCAGUGAGGAAUAUUGGACAAUGGGCGCAAGCCUGAUCCAGCCAUGCCGCGUGCAGGAAGACUGCCCUAUGGGUUGUAAACUGCUUUUAUACAGGAAGAAUAAGCCUUACGUGUAAGGUGAUGACGGUACUGUAAGAAUAAGGACCGGCUAACUCCGUGCCAGCAGCCGCGGUAAUACGGAGGGUCCAAGCGUCAUCCGGAAUUAUUGGGUUUAAAGGGUCCGUAGGUGGAUGAUUAAGUCAGGGGUGAAAGUUUGCAGCUCAACUGUAAAAUUGCCUUUGAUACUGGUUAUCUUGAAUUGUAUUGAAGUAGGCGGAAUAUGUAGUGUAGCGGUGAAAUGCAUAGAUAUUACAUAGAACACCAAUUGCGAAGGCAGCUUACUAAGUACUAAUUGACACUGAUGGACGAAAGCGUGGGUAGCGAACAGGAUUAGAUACCCUGGUAGUC
rnacentral:rRNA from 1 species